GGUUCUAUGGUGUAGUGGUUAGCACUCUGGACUUUGAAUCCAGACACAGGUUCGACUCAGUAGGACCU